GUGGCCGUGGCCGUGGUCGUGGUCGUGGUCAUAACCGUGGUGGUGGUUAUGGUCGCAAUAAUGUCCAUGGUCGUGGACGUGAUUAUGGUCACGGUCGCUUUCAGAGAUUCAACCACUCUCCUCGUCCACAUUUCAAACGGGAUGGGCGAAUGAAUAAGGAACGAGGUGGGCCUAGCAACAGAAACUUUCAAAAUAUGUGUACUAG
rnacentral:lncRNA from 1 species